AACGAACGCUGGCGGCAUGCCUAACACAUGCAAGUCGAACGAGACCUUCGGGUCUAGUGGCGAACGGGUGCGUAACGCGUGGGAACCUGCCCUUAGGUUCGGAAUAACUCCCCGAAAGGAGUGCUAAUACCGGAUAAUGUCUUCGGACCAAAGAUUUAUCGCCUUUGGAUGGGCCCGCGUUGGAUUAGCUAGUUGGUAGGGUAAAAGCCUACCAAGGCGACGAUCCAUAGCUGGUCUGAGAGGAUGAUCAGCCACACUGGGACUGAGACACGGCCCAGACUCCUACGGGAGGCAGCAGUGGGGAAUAUUGGACAAUGGGCGAAAGCCUGAUCCAGCAAUGCCGCGUGAGUGAUGAAGGCCUUAGGGUUGUAAAGCUCUUUUACCCGGGAUGAUAAUGACAGUACCGGGAGAAUAAGCUCCGGCUAACUCCGUG
rnacentral:rRNA from 1 species